GGUAUUUUGACCUGUGCAGUUUUCAGUACUGAACCUCUUGCUUGUGAUCCAUCAACGCUUCCAAAAUAUCCACCAACCAAGGAGAUGGAUGCCAAACGACGUGGUGACGAAGCACGAAGGACGGAUAUUGUUUCAGCGAUGCAUGGUGACAAAUCCGCUAACUUAAGUGUGGUUGGAAAAUGCCUAGAGAAGGUUUUAGAGGAGUCUCGUUUUGCGAAUAAGUUUGUGCUACCAUAUAAGGAAGUCCAUGAAGACUCCAGUAACACUUUUUUUGGGAUGGGUCCUUACAUGGAUUUCCCCUAUAGAAUAUUAUAACCGUAAGGUCUAGAUGUUGGUGCUCCGGUAUAUCUUUCCGGCUUCGAUACCAUAUUUUUGUUCUUUUGAUAAUUUCUGUAACUUUUAACAUUCUGGAAUUUUGUUUAAAUUGAAUGUCACUAUAUUUGCA